CCUCAUAUUUAUAGCAGCACUAUUCAUAACAGCUAAGAUGCAGCAUUAACCUAAGUGCCUAUCAGAGAAGUGGAUACAGAAACUGUGGUGUAAAAACACAAUGGAAUAUUAUACAGCCAUGGAAAGGAUGGGAUGUCAUUCCCAGCAACAUGGAUAAGCAUGGAGGAAACUCUGCUAGCACCCUGACGUGGCCCCGACUGAGACCGUCCUAGGAGCAACUGCGGCUCUCCGGAGGCAGGGAACGCUUCUCAAAACAAUGUCCUGCAUUUUUACCUGUAAGCCGUGUCUACCUGAUUAUUAGUGAAAAACCCAGCUUAUGGACAACCUUAACAAGAUGGCCACGACCAACAGCAAAAAUGCUAAUCCAUUUCUUGAACUAAGGACACCCGGAUCCUCACCGUUUUUACAAACGUAGCCAGCACUCCAUACCCUGGAGUUUUGCACCCCCAGAUUCAACACCAAGAAUACCACAGUUCUGAGAUGGUCUCUGAGAUUCAGUGCAUACUGCACACUUACGGGACGUGUCGUGUCAGAACUGCUUCAUUUCCAAUGCUCACAUACCACCUAUGGCUCAACGCUGGUAGAAAAUCCUAAGCUGGUCAUUUAAUUCUCUGAGGACAAGAUGUCUAAAACAACGCUGAUAUUACUGGCUUCCUUGUAGAGUUGUAUGAAUUAGGAGUUUUGGAAAAGAGCAUAUAAACACAUAAUAAAUUAUCAAUUAGAUUAUACUCCUUUUCAGCUUUUAUACCACUAAGUUACUUAAAACGAGAGUUAGUAAAAUUUGGGGAGGGUGUUCACCAGUUAAUUUUACUAUUGUGCAUUAUAAUAUGUGAUGAUCACAUAGAUAAUCUUUUAUAUUUAUCCAAUACAGACAGUUCUUGCUCUGUAAAGGUACCAUGAAAACUGAAACUUGUUCAUGUCAAGCCUGUCUCUGCUUUGCGAAUUCAUACAUAUGCACAUUUCCUACUUGCACCAUAGAAAUCUAUCUCCAUAGCAAUGACCAUGACCAGAGUCUAGAUCUUGUUUUCAACACUGUCUUAGUCCAUUUGGGCUGAGAUAACAAAAUACCUUAGACUGAGCAAUUUAUAAACAGUGAAAAUAUGUAUCUCACAGUUCUGGAUGCUGGAAGUCCAAUCCAACACUGUCUUAGUCCAUUUGGGCUGAGAUAACAAAAUACCUUAAACUGAGCAAUUUAUAAACAGUGAAAGUGUGUAUCUCACAGUUCUGGAUGCUGGAUGUCCAAUCCAACACUGUCUUAGUCCAUUUGGGCUGAGAUAACAAAAUACCUUAGACUGAGCGAUUUAUAAACAGUGAAAGUGUGUAUCUCACAGUUCUGGAUGCUGGAAAGUCCAACACCAUGAUGUCAUAGAGUGUCUGGCGAGACCCCUCUGCUUCAUAGACCUUGCUUUCUAGCUGCAUCUCCACAUGGCAGGAAGGACAAGUAAGCCCCCUAAUGCUUUUUUUUAUAAGGGCACUAAUCCCAUUCAUCAGAGCUCCACCCUCAUGACCUAAUUACCCUCUGAAGGCCUUACCUCCUAAUGCUAUAUAUUUCAUUGGAGACAGAUUUUAACAUGUGAAUGGGGGGCAUUAACAUUCAGACUCUCCAAUACCAUUCUUCAGUAAAAGGAACCAAGACUUCUUUGAGAAAUAAAUGAUUCCAGGGCUGGAACAGAGAAAAUGUAAUUCUCCUGAGGAAACUUGCAGUGCCAGAAUGUAAGGAAGUGUACAAAAUUUAAAAGGAAUGGGAGUGUGUCCAAGGGGCACAGGAGUCAACCUGAAAUGCCACAAAUAGCUGGAGUUGGAGCAAUCUGAAUAACAAAAGUAAAAAAAAAAAUCUUAAUCAUAAUCCAAAGUACAAAAUAUAUAUCUGUGAGUCUAUACCAAUAUUAAUAAAUAAGCCAACAAGUGGAAAAAUGGGGAAGAAGAGACAAAUCUCCAGCAGAAGAAUUCUAUGUGAGUCAUGUACAUCCUCUUCCAGGAAGUGGGCCUUAACUCCUUUUUCUCCCAACCUUGAGUGUGGACAGUAUGGAAGCAAGGAGGAGGUGACUUACAGGGGAGAAGUCUGACCAACACCGCCUGACCCAGGUGGUCAGGUUAACAUGACAGAGAUGAGUCAUGCUAACAACACGUACCCUUGAAGUGAGGUACCGAGAGGGUACCUUCAUCUCUGUGGUCUUCCCACCAAAACCCACAAUCCCAGUCUCAUCACGGUAGAAACAUAAGACAAAGCACCAUGGAAAGAUCUUCUGCAAGACACAUGACCAGUGUUCCUCCAAAGUGUCACGCUCACUAAGACAAAGACAGUCUGAGAAACUCUGAAGAGAUGUGAGACCGAAAUGUAAUGGGGAUUCUGGUUGGGACCCUGGAAGAGAGAGGGGCGGCUGGGGGAAGCUGACUGUGCUGGUUAAUUUUAGUUCAGUGGACUUGGAGUAAAGCAGAUUACCCUCAGCAUGGGCCUCAUCCAGUCAGCUGAAGGCCUUAAUAGAACUAAGACGGACUUCUCCUCAGCAAAAAAAGGAAUUCUUCCAGCAGGCCGCCUUUGGACUGGACUGCACUCCCCGGGUAACCAGCCUUCAGGCUGCAGAUUUUGGAUUGACCAAGCCUCCACAAUCACGUGAGCUUUUUCUUUAAAAAUAAAUCUCUUUCUUCCUUUCUCUCUGUCUCUGUGCACGCACACACACAGGCACACACACACGUGCACACACGCAGGCAUGUACACACAUAAAUUCUGUUGGUUCUGCUUUUCUGGAGCCCCCUAAUACACUGGUGAAGUCACUGGAAAUGUGGAGAAUUUAUGACAGUAAGAUAGCGACGUUGGUGCAUUCAUUGUGACAAAUAUACCAUAGUAAUGUAAGAUGUUAAUGAUCGGGAACAACGUAUUUGUAAAUCUAUAGCUGUUUUAAAAUAAAAUCUACUUCA